rnacentral:rRNA from 1 species
CCUACGGGAGGCAGCAGUGGGGAAUUUUGGACAAUGGGCGAAAGCCUGAUCCAGCAAUGCCCCGUCAGGAUGAAGGCCCUCGGGUUGUAAAGUGCUUUUGUACGGAGCGAAAAGCCUGGGGCUAAUAUCCCCAGGUCAUGACGGUACCGUAAGAUUAGGACCCGGCCC